CUUAMCAUGCAAGUCGAACGGUAAGGCCCUUCGGGGUACACGAGUGGCGAACGGGUGAGUAACACGUGGGUGAUCUGCCCUGCACUCUGGGAUAAGCCUGGGAAACUGGGUCUAAUACCGGAUAUGAGCUCCUGUCGCAUGGCGGGGGUUGGAAAGGUUUACUGGUGCAGGAUGGGCCCGCGGCCUAUCAGCUUGUUGGUGGGGUAAUGGCCUACCAAGGCGACGACGGGUAGCCGGCCUGAGAGGGCGACCGGCCACACUGGGACUGAGACACGGCCCAGACUCCUACGGGAGGCAGCAGUGGGGAAUAUUGCACAAUGGGCGAAAGCCUGAUGCAGCGACGCCGCGUGAGGGAUGACGGCCUUCGGGUUGUAAACCUCUUUCAGCAGGGACGAAGCGAGAGUGACGGUACCUGCAGAAGAAGCACCGGCCAACUACGUGCCAGCAGCCGCGGUAAUACGUAGGGUGCGAGCGUUGUCCGGAAUUACUGGGCGUAAAGAGCUCGUAGGCGGUUUGUCGCGUCGUCCGUGAAAACUUGGGGCUCAACCCCAAGCUUGCGGGCGAUACGGGCAGACUUGAGUACUGCAGGGGAGACUGGAAUUCCUGGUGUAGCGGUGAAAUGCGCAGAUAUCAGGAGGAACACCGGUGGCGAAGGCGGGUCUCUGGGCAGUAACUGACGCUGAGGAGCGAAAGCGUGGGUAGCGAACAGGAUUAGAUACCCUGGUAGUCCACGCCGUAAACGGUGGGCGCUAGGUGUGGGUUUCCUUCCACGGGAUCCGUGCCGUAGCUAACGCAUUAAGCGCCCCGCCUGGGGAGUACGGCCGCAAGGCUAAAACUCAAAGGAAUUGACGGGGGCCCGCMCAAGCGGCGGAACAUGUGGAUUAAUUCGAUGCAACNNGAAGAACCUUACCUGGGUUUGACANNNNCCGGAAAGCCGUAAAAAUACGGCCCCCCUUGGGGUCGGNUACAGGUGGGGCAUGGYU
rnacentral:rRNA from 1 species